CCAAAACGACUCUCGGCAACGGAUAUCUCGGCUCUCGCAUCGAUGAAGAACGUAGCGAAAUGCGAUACUUGGUGUGAAUUGCAGAAUCCCGCGAACCAUCGAGUCUUUGAACGCAAGUUGCGCCCGAAGCCAUCAGGCCGAGGGCACGUCUGCCUGGGCGU
rnacentral:rRNA from 1 species